GACGAACGCUGGCGGCGUGCCUAAUACAUGCAAGUAGAACGCUGAAGGAGGAGCUUGCUUCUCUGGAUGAGUUGCGAACGGGUGAGUAACGCGUAGGUAACCUGCCUGGUAGCGGGGGAUAACUAUUGGAAACGAUAGCUAAUACCGCAUAAGAGUAGAUGUUGCAUGACAUUUGCUUAAAAGGUGCAAUUGCAUCACUACCAGAUGGACCUGCGUUGUAUUAGCUAGUUGGUGGGGUAACGGCUUACCAAGGCGACGAUACAUAGCCGACCUGAGAGGGUGGUCGGCCACACUGGGACUGGGACACGGCCCAGACUUCUACGGGGGGGAGCAGUAGGGGAUUUUCGGGAAUUGACGGAAGGCUGACCGGGGAACGCCGGGGGGGGGAAGGAGGGUGUCGGAUUGGAAAGGUCUGUUGUAAGAGAAGAACGAGUGUGAGAGUGGAAAGUUCACACUGUGACGGUAUCUUACCAGAAAGGGACGGCUAACUACGUG
rnacentral:rRNA from 1 species